AGAACGAACGCUGGCGGCAUGCCUAAUACAUGCAAGUCGAACGAACACUUCGGUGUUAGUGGCGCACGGGUGCGUAACGCGUGGGAAUCUGCCCUUGGGUUCGGAAUAACAGUUGGAAACGACUGCUAAUACCGGAUGAUAUCGAAAGAUCAAAGAUUUAUCGCCCAGGGAUGAGCCCGCGUAGGAUUAGCUAGUUGGUGAGGUAAAGGCUCACCAAGGCGACGAUCCUUAGCUGGUCUGAGAGGAUGAUCAGCCACACCGGGACUGAGACACGGCCCAGACUCCUACGGGAGGCAGCAGUAGGGAAUAUUGGACAAUGGGCGCAAGCCUGAUCCAGCAAUGCCGCGUGAGUGAUGAAGGCCUUAGGGUUGUAAAGCUCUUUACCCGAGAUGAUAAUGACAGUAUCGGAGAAUAAGCCCCGGCUAACUCCGUGCCAGCAGCCGC
rnacentral:rRNA from 1 species